rnacentral:lncRNA from 1 species
CUAAACUUGUCUUCACAUUGUCUUGAUCUUCUUUACUAAAAAACUCAACAAAUCUCCACCUAGUAAAGACAGAUCAACAAGACUGACAUAGGCGAGUUGUCUUGAGAUGUAGAGGUAGGUGCCUGAUGUCUAGAUUUUGGAUUCCUGUUCCCGGAGCCUGAGCUUGAUUACUCAGACUUAACCCUCAGCAAGUCCAUUGCAGCUUUGAACUUACUGACUGGUAUAAUCUUCG